rnacentral:rRNA from 1 species
UACAGAGGGGGCAAGCGUUGUUCGGAAUUACUGGGCGUAAAGGGCGCGUAGGCGGCCUUCUAAGUCGAACGUGAAAUCCCCGGGCUCAACCCGGGAACUGCGUCCGAUACUGGAAGGCUUGAAUCCGGGAGAGGGAUGCGGAAUUCCAGGUGUAGCGGUGAAAUGCGUAGAUAUCAGGAGGAACACCGGUGGCGAAGGCGGGAUCCUGGGCCAGUACUGACGCUGAGGAGCGAAAGCGUGGGGAGCAAACAGG